GACGAACGCUGGCGGCGUGCUUAACACAUGCAAGUCGAACGGAAAGGCCCUGCUCUUGCGGGGUGCUCGAGAGGCGAACGGGUGAGUAUAACGCGAGUAAACCGCACCUGUCUUUGGGGUAACUUUAGGAAAAUGGGGCUAAUAUCGGAUAGGAGCUCCUGCUGCAUGGUGGGGGUUGGAGAGUUUCGGCGGUUGGGGAUGGACUCGCGGCUUAUCAGCUUGUUGGUGGGGUAGUGGCUUACCAGGGCUACGACGGGUAGCCGGCAUGGGAGGUUGACCGGCCACAUUGGGACUGAGGUAGGGCCCAGACUGCUACGGUAGGCAGCAGGCGGGAAUAUUGCGCAAUAGGCGGAAGCCUGAGACGACAACGCCGCGUGCGGAAUGACGGCCUUCGGGUUGUAAACCGCUGUCGCCUGUGACGAAGCGUGAGUGACGGUAAUGGGUAAAAAAGCACCGGCUAACUACGUG
rnacentral:rRNA from 1 species